AACGUUGUAUUUGGGUCCAAACAUUCUUGUCCUUUUCUGCCCAAGACCAAUUUUUCUCUUCUUAGUUUUUGCCUUUACCACUUUCCUGUUAACAUUUUCUCGAGAAACAAACACCACAUAAAAAAUUUUCCUUUUUAUCUGGAGGUGUUAAUACAUACGAACAUUUCUCUAAUAUAUAUAAUAUAUGUAAUAUAUAACAAUUCCAAAACUUUCCUUCCUCAACACAUAUUCCUUCUCAUCUCACCAUAUUAGAAUUAGAUCCCUUUCUCCUUCUUCGAGGCAAUUUAUUGACCCAGAUCCAUUUUUAGUUCAAACCCAGAAUUCUCUCUCCAGUUUUCCAUGACUGCGCCUUCACUAAAAGCAGUUACCCUAACCCACGUCCGGUACCAGAGAGGUGAUCAGCUGGGUCACUUUCUGGCAUGGAUUUCACUAGUACCAGUCUUCAUAAGCCUCGGCGGAUUCGUCUCUCAUUAUAUCUUCCGCCGUGAGCUUCAAGGUAUGUUCUUCGCUCUGGGCCUCUUGAUUUCCCAAUUCAUAAACGAGCUCAUCAAGAAAUCGGUCCAGCAAGAUCGGCCCGAGACCUGUGUUAUACUCGAAAUGUGCGACUCCCACGGCUGGCCUUCGAGCCAUUCCCAAUACAUGUUCUUCUUUGCAAUGUAUUUCACUCUCUUAACCUAUAAAGCAACCGGGGUUUGGGAGACUAAGAAGAGGGUGUUUGUGAAUUUUCUCAACUGGUCAAUGGCACUUCUUACUAUGUAUUCCAGGGUCUAUUUGGGGUACCAUACAGUGGCUCAGGUCUUUGCUGGUGCUGCUCUUGGGAUCAUAAUUGGGGCUAGUUGGUAUUGGAUUGUCAAUUAUGUGCUUUACGUAUAUUUCCCAGCCAUUGAAGAGAGCUCAUUGGGGCGUUUCUUUUAUAUCAAGGACACUUCUCAUAUACCCAAUGUUUUGAAGUUUGAGUAUGACAAUGCCAGAGCUGCAAGGGCGGCUUCUAAAGACGAUUGAAUUGAUCAAAAGCGCAUCUGGGUAAGUGGGAUUUCUUUUGAUUCUUAUUUCUGAAUUGAUGUGUUUGAAGACCAUACCUUUGUUAUACUAACUAAUUACAUUUUCACCUGGAAUUUCGCUCUUUAACAUGUUUAACUGAUAUAUACAAGAAUAGAGGAGUUUUAAAAUUUAGUACUUGUUUAGUUGUUUUAUAAUUCCCAUACCAAUAUUUGUCUAAAACUUUGAGGUCUGCCUUAUGGCUGGUGUACCUUGGUGAAUCAUUAAAAAAUGUGACCCAACAUUUUAGAUUUGUGGUAUGAUCUUCUUUCUACAUGCAUUGUGCUAAUGAGAUUAGUAAAAUGACGGGAUUAGCUUUGCUUGCCUAACCUAAAUAGGGAAUAGCUAACCAAGCUACUUUAGCUAGUCUAGUGGUGAGGUUUGAGGGUUGGGGUGGGAUAAGUUAGGAUCUUUGAGUUUUUUUUUUUUUUUUUUUUUUAUUGAAGCGUGUUUUAUAUACAUUAGUUGCACAACUUGAACUUGAGAUUCGAUCGCAGAACUCCCCACACACACCCACCUUAACUAGCCUCAAAGUGGUUUAGGAUCCUGAGUUUAAAAUAUAUUAUUUUUGCAUUUUUAUUUAGUACUAUGGGUGUUUCCGUACCUGUCUAAUUUUUCUAAUAAAGAAAUGGUUACUAGUCUUUUAAAAAGAUGAGAGGGGAUAGGUAAAAAAAAGAGCAUUACUAUUAGGCACCACUGAUGCCUUAUAGCAAUGCUCAAAAAAAAUAUAUGUUAAGCAACUUGGCCAAGUGUCAAAUAUUUACAUGUAUUAAUUAACUAUUUUUUGACACAAUUGGUUCCAUUUAGCUAAGUUUUUACUUUUACUUGUAGCUAAAAGUAUAAAAUAAGCAUACAUUUUGACUUAUUUUUACCGUUAGAUAACUAUUAUAUGAAAAUCUUUUUUUUUGAGUGAAAAAUUAUUUUUCAAAGUGUUUGGAUAUCAUCAAAAAAAAAAAUUUGGAAGUAAAUUAAGAAUCAUGUAAAUUAUUUUAAUUUUAAAAAUAGCUUCGUAAAAGUCUUUUUAUGAGAAGCUACAAAUCUUAGCUACUUCCAAAAGUACCAUUUGAUGAGUAAAUUAGAUGAGAUCAUGUGUAGUUUUUUAUUUUUUGGAUAAAGAUGUGAAGUUUUGUUUUCAAAACUAUUCUAAAAGAAAAGUUUUGAAUUUUAGAUAAAGGUAAUGUAAAUGAACCAGUUAAGCUAUUAGAAGAAUAGUGAAUCUGAUAUAGCAUAAUAUGUAUUGUUGGUCACCAAUAGAUAUGGAGCUGUCAGCUCCUCCUCCUCCUCCAUCUUCUAUGCACCCUUUUACGGCUGUUUGGUAUAGUAAUAUCAAAAAAAUAUUGGUUUUUCAUUAUAAAAUUAGGCCUUUUUUUCAAGCCCAGAAAAAUAGUAUUUACUUUACUCUUCAAGAGGGUAAUAUUAAAUCCAUCUAAAUGUGUGGGGCUCAGAUGUUCUUGCUUUAUAAAUAUGCAGAAAUCACGUACACAUAUGAGCAUUUUCCUGUGUAACCAAAUAUGGUUAUGGGAUAUAGCUAUCAGUCUAAUAGAUUCUCAUACAAAAUUAAAACCUGUUUUACAUGAUUUCGGUCUUUUAUAUUUAUGUUGUUGUCUGUAAUUAAUUUUCUCAAUAAUCAGAAAAUUUCUCUUCUUGAUUCCCUUUUCAAUAUUUUCAGUCAUUCCAAAUUUGGUAGUCAGCAAUAGUCACUAUUCUUCAUUGCUCUUUUGUAUUCCAGGUGAAUUGCUUCAUAUAUGCUGGUACUGGUCCUGCUUUUAUUGGAGGCUGUUAUGGUCUGUCAUUGUACGGUGAUAGGGAAUGUUAUGAGCUUGGACUGAGAAGAAACUUCUAUUUUUUCCCCCACUUCUUUUGUUCUUCUUUCUUUACUUUACACAAGAACACAAGUCAUGUUCUUACACAUAAGAAGAUAAAAAUAAAAGAGGAGACUUGUUAGCUCACUUAUAUAAUUGAAUACAAACUAAACUAGUGAAGAUGGUCACAUAUUUUGAAGGAAUUAACUGCACUUUAGCUUGGUGUGUUCAAAUUUACACUUUGUAUAUCAGUUUAUCAUCAAUUAACUACAUUACAAAUAAGAACAUUGCUAAGUAUCACUUAGAGUUUAUUGCUUUA